rnacentral:rRNA from 1 species
UACGUAGGGUGCAAGCGUUAAUCGGAAUUACUGGGCGUAAAGCGUGCGCAGGCGGCUUUGCAAGACAGAUGUGAAAUCCCCGGGCUUAACCUGGGAACUGCAUUUGUGACUGCAUGGCUGGAGUGCGGCAGAGGGGGAUGGAAUUCCGCGUGUAGCAGUGAAAUGCGUAGAUAUGCGGAGGAACACCGAUGGCGAAGGCAAUCCCCUGGGCCUGCACUGACGCUCAUGCACGAAAGCGUGGG